rnacentral:rRNA from 1 species
UACAGAGGGUGCAAGCGUUAAUCGGAAUUACUGGGCGUAAAGCGUGCGUAGACGGUUACAUAAGUCGGGGUGUGAAAGCCCCGGGCUCAACCUGGGAAUUGCAUUCGAGACUGCGUAGCUAGGGUGCGGAAGAGGGAAGCGGAAUUUCCGGUGUAGCGGUGAAAUGCGUAGAUAUCGGAAGGAACACCAGUGGCGAAAAGCGGCUUCCUGGUCCAGCACCGACGUCAGGCACGAAAGCGUGGGGAGCAAACAGG